CAGCCGCCGCGGUAAUACGAAGGGUGCAAGCGUUAAUCGGAAUUACUGGGCGUAAAGCGUGCGUAGGCGGUUUGUUAAGUCUGUUGUGAAAUCCCCGGGCUCAACCUGGGAAUGGCAAUGGAUACUGGCAAGCUAGAGUGUGUCAGAGGAUGGUGGAAUUCCCGGUGUAGCGGUGAAAUGCGUAGAGAUCGGGAGGAACAUCAGUGGCGAAGGCGGCCAUCUGGGACAACACUGACGCUGAGGCACGAAAGCGUGGGGAGCAAACAGGAUUAGAUACCCCUGUAGUCCAUGUCUCUUAUAC
rnacentral:rRNA from 1 species